rnacentral:rRNA from 1 species
UGUCUCUAGCAAAAUAAAGGGUGAGAAUGUAUUUUUAGGCAUUAUUCUUUUUAUGGGAAAUUGAUGUUUGUUAUAUGUUUUUACUUGGUUUUUACCUUUUGUAUUAGGAAGAAAAGAUUACUUUUUUUAUUAUUUAGAGCGAAAUUAGUUGAGAUAACUCUUUCUUUUUAGAAGUGGAAUUUUGUUGGGGUUAAUUAUCAUAUGUAGUGGAACUAAUAUUCUCUUUCUCUGCGUUUUUAUCUAAUAUUAACUUAUUUUAGGUUAGGGGGAAAUGGAUAAGCUUUUCUUUUUACUUUUUAAAUUUAGUUUAAAAAGUUUUUAUUGUAUUUAUUUGGUUUGUUGUAAAAAUUUUUUAUUAUAGAAGUUGGUUUUUUGAAGUUAAUUGAUUAAGGAUGCUUUUAUUAAUUUUUCUAUUAGUAGCUUGGGAGUGGUGUUUUUAAUUUUGUUUUGUUUAUUUUGAAAUGGCGAAUUUUUUACUAAAGUUGUGCUUAACUGUUUAACAAAAUCUAAUUUUAUAUUUUUUAUUGAAGAUUUCUGCUCAGUGAAUUUUUAAAUAGCUGCGGUAUUUUGACUGUGCUAAGGUAGCGAAGUCAUUUGUUUCUUUAUUGGGAACUUGUAUGAGUGGAGUAAUGGGUGCUUUUAUGAAUUGAGCUUAAAGUGAAUUUGAUUUUUCUAAGAAAAGUUAGAAGUUUUCCUAAAGACGAGAAGACCCCAAAAUCUUUAUUUUAAUUUAUAGGAUUUAAUUUUUAUUUGGGGGAAAGAUUGAUCUUUAUUUAUUGUUUUAUUAUUGCGAACUUUUUUAGGGUGUAUGGAUAGAUACUUUGGGGGUAACAGGAUUAUUUUCUUUUGAAGUUCUUAUUUUAGGGGAAGUUUAUUACCUCGAUGUUGGCUUUUGAUUUUAGUUGGGGGUAGCUUUUCAAACUAAUAGUCUGUUCGACUAUUAAAAUUGAACAUGAGCUGAGUUCAAAUCGGCGUGAGCCAGAUUGGAUUUUAUCUUAGGAUAAUUAGAGGGUGUUUAGUACGAAAGGAUUGGCGUCUUUGGAGUUUCUAAAUUUUGGGCGAGUGGCUUGAGGAA